UAAUAAUUGAAAGCAAUAUCCAGCAACAAUUUGUAUGAGAUCAUAAAUAUUUAAUUCAUCUCCCUCGUACAUUUCCAGAAACAAAUUCAGAUUUCCAGAGUUGAAUUGUUGGUGGAUCGCUACAAGCAGGCAUAGUAGCUGGGGGUUCGCGGAGAGAAGUCUCAGGAGUUCCACCAUUCUUCACUAUAAUAACUGUGUCCAUUCCCCAACUUAAAUGGCGAUCUAAGUGACAAUGCCACAGCCAUACUCCAGGAUUGAGUGCUUUGAAUCUAACAGCAAGCCAUCCAUUCUUGGGAAGAGUAGCAGUGUUCACAUACGGUGGAUCAACCAAAUUGUAUGUUUUUGGGUCUUCUUCGAAAUCAAAAUUGCCUCCUCCAGCUCCAACAGCAUAGAAGCUAUGACCAUGGAGAUGCAUUGGGUGAUCCUCUGAUGCGUUCAAUACAUUAGAUGAUUGGAACACCAUCUCCACUUCUUCUCCAUAUUCCAGCACCUUCACCUUCGUCCCUAUCGAGGAUUGCGUGGUAUUAACAGGCAAUCCUUCUGCAACGAAGUCAUAGAAAUUUGGUGGCAUGUCUGGGAAAUCUUCAGUGUAAAAACCACUCAUGUUGCUGUAGUAGGCAUGAAGAACAUCCAUUUUUGGAUUUACCCAAGUCGCAUUGUUCAAGCUUGCAGCAAGAGAGAUAGUCACAUUGCCUGAAUUGUUAAACAAGAAUUGGUUCUGAGAAGCAACAAUGUACAUUUGGGUAGUAAUGUUUUUGGGGACGUCCUGCUUAUCAAGGCUCCUCAAUUGAUUUCUGAAAGUUAUUCCAGCAGGAUAAUCUGCGUAAGAAGGAAGGGUGUCGGAUGGGAAAGAAGGAG
rnacentral:misc_RNA from 1 species